UACGUAGGGUGCAAGCGUUAAUCGGAAUUACUGGGCGUAAAGCGUGCGCAGGCGGUUUUGUAAGUCUGUCGUGAAAGCCCCGGGCUCAACCUGGGAAUUGCGAUGGAGACUGCAAGGCUUGAAUCUGGCAGAGGGGGGUAGAAUUCCACGUGUAGCAGUGAAAUGCGUAGAGAUGAUGGAGGAACACCGAUGGCGAAGGCAGCCCCUGGGUCAAGAUUGACGCUCAUGCACGAAAGCGUGGGGAGCAAACAGGAUAGAAACCCCUG
rnacentral:rRNA from 1 species